UACAAUGGACGGUACAACGAGUCGCAAGCUCGCGAGAGUAAGCUAAUCUCUUAAAGCCGUUCUCAGUUCGGACUGUAGGCUGCAACUCGCCUACACGAAGUCGGAAUCGCUAGUAAUCGCGGAUCAGCAUGCCGCGGUGAAUACGUUCCCGGGCCUUGUACACACCGCCCGUCAAGCCAUGGGAGCCGGGGGCGCCUGAAGUCCGGGACCGCGAGGACCGGCCUAGGGCGAAACUGGUAACUGGGGCUAAGUCGUAACAAGGUAUC
rnacentral:rRNA from 1 species